CCAGCCGGUGCCUUUGUGGCCUCUUGGGCUGGGUUGCAAUCUCAUGCCAACCCGCUUGCCGGUUGUCAGGAGGCCUCUGGGGAGGACGCUGCAGGAGCCUCAAACGCCACCUACUCCCGGCCUCUCUCCCGGUUGAUGUUUCUAUUUUGGGCACCACAUUAUUUCCUGCUGUGAUUUUUUUUUUCAGGCUUCUAAUUCAGGCUCUGAGGAAUGGGAGUCCAACGCUUCCGUGUCCGAAGUCUGUUUAACUAUAUUUGGACAAUGACCCUUUAGAGAUGCUGAUAAAGGCUACACAGAAUCCCAGAAACUGUCCACAACAAACUCACAGCAGACAAAAUGGUAAAGCUCCCGGGAGUCUCAACCAUCCCAGUCCAUGGGGGUGACUUUAGCUGAGACUCCUAGCAGUGAGGAUAUGGAGCCUGUUGUGCUUGUAGACAGGAGCCUAGCAUAGCUCCUCUGACAGCUACCCAGCAGCUGACUGAAACAGAUGCUGAGUCCCACAGUCAAACAUUAGAUGGAGCUUGGGGACUCUUGUGGAAGAGUUGUGGGAAGGAUUGCAGGCCCUGAAGGAAAUAGGAACUCUACAAGAAGACCAACAAAGUCAACUAACCUGGACCACUAGGGGCUCCCAGAAACUGAACCAUCAACCAAAGA
ensembl:lincRNA AI839979 expressed sequence AI839979